rnacentral:rRNA from 1 species
AACGAACGCUGGCGGCAUGCCUAACACAUGCAAGUCGAACGAGAUCUUCGGGUCUAGUGGCGCACGGGUGCGUAACGCGUGGGAAUCUGCCCUUUGGUUCGGAAUAACAGUUGGAAACGACUGCUAAUACCGGAUGAUGACGAAAGUCCAAAGAUUUGUCGCCAGAGGAUGAGCCCGCGUAGGAUUAGCUAGUUGGUGUGGUAAAGGCGCACCAAGGCGACGAUCCUUAGCUGGUCUGAGAGGAUGAUCAGCCACACUGGGACUGAGACACGGCCCAGACUCCUACGGGAGGCAGCAGUGGGGAAUAUUGGACAAUGGGCGAAAGGCUGAUCCAGCAAUGCAGCGUGAGUGAUGAAGGCCUUAGGGUUGUAAAGCUCUUUUACCCGGGAUGAUAAUGACAGUACCGGGAGAAUAAGCUCCGGCUAACUCCGUGCCAGCCGCCGCGGUAAGAC